GAUGAAGAACGCAGCGAAAUGCGAUAAGUAAUGUGAAUUGCAGAAUUCAGUGAAUCAUCGAAUCUUUGAACGCACAUUGCGCCCCUUGGUAUUCCGAGGGGCAUGCCUGUUCGAGCGUCAUUAUAACCCUCAAGCUCAGCUUGGUGUUGGGGCCUGCUGCACUGGCAGCCCUUAAAAUCAGUGGCGGCGCCAUCUGGCUCUAAGCGUAGUAAUUCUUCUCGCUAUGGAGUCCUGGUGGAUGCUUGCCAUCAACCCCCAAUUUUUCUAUGGUUGACCUCGGAUCAGGUAGGGAUACCCGCUGAACUUAAGCAUAUCAAUAACGGAGGG
rnacentral:misc_RNA from 1 species